CGAUAUCCUAAAUUCGCUGAAGCAUCUCUCGCUAUCUGGAGAGCCCUGGCCGAACUACGGCCAGGAUGGUUGGGACGCGGACGACGAAGAAAUUCAGGCCCACCCACCACCCACUUCGUAGCCACCAUCGACGAUCUAACCGACGUACUCGACUACGACUCCGAAGACAUCAACGGUAUGGACAACGAUGCUAGAGACUAUCAAGAACUAGUGCCUAUAGGACACUGGAAGACCACCUCGUCAUACGACAUAUACAUGGUGGACACCCUAAAAGAUGGGGACGGCGAAGAAGCAACGGAGGCCGAUUCCUUAAAGAAACAGCCCAAGUGCCGACGUCAGCGGCGCCGCUCUAAAUCCCGCCACAGCAAGAAUAGAGAUUCCGGCACAGGAGAUAAUAACACCCCAGAAAGUGCCGAAGACAACCCCCUCCAGCACGAUCCAGUGCAGGAGGAGGCAGAAGCAAGCCCUCACGAGAGGGCGGUAGACGAAGAGGUCAAGGAU
rnacentral:rRNA from 1 species